rnacentral:rRNA from 1 species
UACGGAGGGGGCUAGCGUUGUUCGGAAUUACUGGGCGUAAAGCGCACGUAGGCGGCUUUGUAAGUUAGAGGUGAAAGCCUGUGGCUCAACCACAGAAUUGCCUUUGAUACUGUUUGGCUAGAGACCGGAAGAGGUAAGUGGAACUGCGAGUGUAGAGGUGAAAUUCGUAGAUAUUCGCAAGAACACCAGUGGCGAAGGCGGCUUACUGGUCCGGUUCUGACGCUGAGGCGCGAAGGCGUGGGGAGCAAACAGG